ACUUUGUGUUAUUGUGCUUCACUUUAUUGCACUUUGCAGAUAUUGCGAUUUUUACAAAUUGAAGUUUUGUGGCAACUCUACUUCGAGCAAGUCUAUAUUGGCACCAUUUUUCCAAUAGCAUGUCUUCACUUCGUGUCUCUGUGUCACAUGUGAAUUAAGGAGAUGCAGCUGGAGCCAAAUCUUGAAGGAAGAUAGAACCAGGACCAACAAAGAGGAGGGAUGGUGACUUUUCCGAUAGGUUAGAGAAGACAAUAAUAGACUCUGGCUGUGGAGCGAUGCAUAACAUCCCCAGUGAAUGAGAUGCCUUCCAGAAAUUUGAUGUUCUCAUUUUUCCAAGUUUAUGAUAUCCUUCAUCUUGCUCAAGACUAGAAAAAAGGAGGAUCCAUCUCCACCUCCCAAAUCAAAAUUAAGUGAGCCUAUAUCUGCACUUCAAAGAAAAGACUUAUCCUAGAUAAUAGGAAAUAUAAAAUGGAAGCAGGUGUUUGCCAAAAAGCUAUAUUAGAGUUGAUCUUUUUAAAAGUGUGAACCCAUUGAAAGUAGGACUUUUUGAUGAGGUUACUUCAGUUAAGGCC